GAAAAUUUGUAAUCAACACAGAAUCAAGUAAAACAGAUCCAAACAGGUGAGAAUAUACCAGUCUUCUUCUAAAAACCCGAAGAAGUAAGGUCUCGACUAACUUCAAACCUUAGGCAUGACAUUGGUUCCAUGAAAACCAAAUUUUACGGAAAAUCUAGCUCAAUCAAUGGACGACGUUAAAUAAUUCCAAGUUUUCCUGACGAAAGCCAACAACGUUUCUUCGAAAUCACCUCCGACUUUAACCAAAGAUAUGAAACGGGAAGAACUUCUGGCAAGGGUACAAUCGGAAGAAAGCUCAUAACAAGAGGAAUCUAAAUUCGUGCUCUGAUACCAUGUUAAAUUGACACAAGAGCGGAUAGAAACCACGAAAAGAGAAACCCUAACACUGAGAAAAAGAAGAAGAAGAGAGACAGAAGGUUCGAGAGCAAAUGAGUCGGUCAGUCUUUG
rnacentral:lncRNA from 1 species